rnacentral:rRNA from 1 species
AUGAUGCAUGGACGUGAGAGCGUGAUCCCCCACACGGGUACUGAGACACGGACCCGACUCCUACGGGAGGCAGCAGUAAGGAAUAUUGGACAAUGCCCGCAAGGGUGAUCCAGCCAUCCCGCGUGCAGGCCGACGGCCCUAUGGGUUGUAAACUGCUUUAUUAGGGAAGAACGACCUUCAUUAAUGAGGGUGUGACCNUACCUAAAGAAUA